AGGUGGUUCUCAAUAAAGAUAUUAGUAAGACCCAGAAGGUACACUUUUUUACCUCAGAAAUACUGAACCACAUUGCUUCACUCUAUCGCUGGAAUGGAAUUACUGAUGUCAGCACAGUGGAUGUCAAGGCUUCCCAAGAGUGUGAAGAACCAGGAAAGCUUUUAGUGAGAGAACUGGUUCAUAAAUUUUUAAUGAACCUUUGUUGUUCUCUGAAGCAUGGCAUUAACUUUUAUGAUCCAAGUCUUGGCACAUCUGGCAGAGGAGGUAAUUUGGUUCUGCUGCGCUUUCUUCUGAGUCUAAAGACUGCUGUAGAAGAUGAGAUGGUUGCUAAUCUUAUGGUGAACAUUUUCAAAGUAUGCCCAGAUUUACUGAACAGAUACUUUAAGGAAUCCCACUAUUCUUUUGUUCCGAGACUAAAAUCUGCAUGGCUAGACAACAUGAAAUUGCUGAGAAAGGUAAGAACUACUUGAAAAGUAUGUAUUUAGUACGUGAAAAUGACCCUUAUCAACAUUUUUCUUGUUAUAAUGACAGUUAUUGAAGUGUCUAUGUGAACAUGACUAUAUUUGCCCUGUUAUAUUUGAUGGUAAGUCAGAAAGAAAUUCAUUUUAAU